UACGAAGGGGGCUAGCGUUGUUCGGAAUUACUGGGCGUAAAGCGCGCGCAGGCGGCUAUCCAAGUCAGUGGUGAAAGCCCGGAGCUCAACUCCGGAACUGCCAUUGAAACUGUUUAGCUUGAGGACGAGAGAGGUGAGUGGAAUUCCCAGUGUAGAGGUGAAAUUCGUAGAUAUUGGGAAGAACACCGGUGGCGAAGGCGGCGACCUGGUCCUUGACUGACGCUGAGGCGCGAAAGCGUGGGGAGCAAACAGG
rnacentral:rRNA from 1 species